rnacentral:rRNA from 1 species
GUGUCAGCCGCCGCGGUAAUACGUAGGGUGCGAGCGUUAAUCGGAAUUACUGGGCGUAAAGCGUGCGCAGGCGGUUCGUUAAGUCUGAUGUGAAAGCCCCGGGCUCAACCUGGGAAUGGCAUUGGAAACUGGCGAGCUUGAGUGUGGCAGAGGGGGGUGGAAUUCCACGUGUAGCAGUGAAAUGCGUAGAGAUGUGGAGGAACACCGAUGGCGAAGGCAGCCCCCUGGGCUAACACUGACGCUCAGGCACGAAAGCGUGGGGAGCAAACAGGAUUAGAUACCCUGGUAGUCCACGCCCUAAACUAUGUCAACUGGGUGUUGGGGAAGCGAUUCCUCAGUACCGUAGCUAACGCGUGAAGUUGACCGCCUGGGGAGUACGGCCGCAAGGUUAAA